AAACUUAAAGGAAUUGACGGAAGGGCACCACCAGGAGUGGAGCCUGCGGCUUAAUUUGACUCAACACGGGGAAACUUACCAGGUCCAGACAUAGUAAGGAUUGACAGACUGAGAGCUCUUUCUUGAUUCUGUGGGUGGUGGUGCGUGGCCGUUCUUAGUUGGUGGAGCGAUUUGUCUGGUUAAUUCCGAUAACGAACGAGACUCCGGCAUGCCAACUAGUUACGCGGCCCCGUGCGGUCGGCGUCCAACUUCUUAGAGGGACAAGUGGCGUUCAGCCACACGAGAUUGAGCAAUAACAGGUCUGUGAUGCCCUUAG
rnacentral:rRNA from 1 species